CAUGUAGGCGGAUAUGCAAGCUUGGUGUGAAAGGCAGGGGCUUAACUCCUGGACUGCGUUGAGAACUGCAUAACUAGAGUAACUGAGGGGCAACCGGAAUUCCAGGUGUAGGGGUGAAAUCUGUAGAUAUCUGGAAGAACACCAAUGGCGAAGGCAGGUUACCAGCAGAUUACUGACGCUGAGGUGCGAAGGUGCGGGGAGCAACAG
rnacentral:rRNA from 1 species